CCUUCGGAAUUUGAAGCUAG
rnacentral:snRNA from 1 species